rnacentral:rRNA from 1 species
UACGGAGGGUGCAAGCGUUAUUCGGAUUUACUGGGCGUAAAGCGUGCGCAGGCGGCUCGUUAAGUCAGGGGUGAAAGCCCGGGGCUCAACCUUGGAAUUGCCCUUGAGACUGGCGAGCUGGAGUGCGGUAGAGGGGGGUGGAAUUCCUCGUGUAGCAGUGAAAUGCGUAGAGAUGAGGAGGAACACCGAUGGCGAAGGCAGCCCCCUGGGCUAGUACUGACGCUCAUGCACGAAAGCGUGGGGAGCAAACAGG